rnacentral:tRNA from 1 species
GUGCCCGUAGCUCAACGGAUAGAGCAACGGCCUUCUAAGCCGUCGGUUGCAGGUUCAAAUCCUGCCGGGCACG